GACGAACGCUGGCGGCGUGCCUAAUACAUGCAAGUAGAACGCUGGAGGGGGAGCUUUCUUCUCCGGAUGAGUUGCGAACGGGUGAGUAACGCGUAGGUAACCUGCCUGUUAGCGGGGGAGAACUCUUGGAAACGAUAGCUAAUACCGCAUAACAGCAGAUGUUGCAUGACAUUUGCUUAAAAAAUGCAAUUGCAUCACUACCAGAUGGACCUGCGUUGUAUUAGCUAGUUGGUGAGGUAACGGCUCACUAAGGCGACGAUACAUAGCCGGCCUGGGAGGGGGGACGGCCAAACUGGGAAUGAGACCAGGCCCAGACUCCUACGGGAGGCCGCAGGAGGGAAUCUUCGGCAAUGGACGGAAGGCUGGCCGAGCAACGCCGCGUGAGGGAAGAAGGGUUUCGGAUCGGAAAGCUCUGGUGUAAGAGAAGAAAGAGUGGGAGAGUGGAAAGUUCACACUGUGACGGUAUCUUAUCAGAAAGGGACGGCUAACUACGUG
rnacentral:rRNA from 1 species